GACGAACGCUGGCGGCAUGCCUAAUACAUGCAAGUCGAGCGAUCAGAUGAAGUGCUUGCACUUCUGACGUUAGCGGCGAACGGGUGAGUAACACGUAAGGAAUCUACCUAUAAGCGGGGGAUAACAUUCGGAAACGGGUGCUAAUACCGCAUAAUAUCUUCUUCCGCAUGGAAGAAGAUUGAAAGACGGCUCUGCUGUCACUUAUAGAUGACCUUGCGGUGCAUUAGUUAGUUGGGGGGGUAACGGCCUACCAAGACGAUGAUGCAUAGCCGACCUGAGAGGGUGAUCGGCCACAUUGGGACUGAGACACGGCCCAAACUCCUACGGGAGGCAGCAGUAGGGAAUCUUCCGCAAUGGGCGAAAGCCUGACGGAGCAAUGCCGCGUGAGUGAAGAAGGCCUUCGGGUCGUAAAACUCUGUUAUAAGAGAAGAACAAAUUGUAGAGUAACUGCUACAGUCUUGACGGUAUCUUAUCAGAAAGCCACGGCUAACUACGUGCCAGCAGCCGCAGUAA
rnacentral:rRNA from 1 species